rnacentral:rRNA from 1 species
UACGUAGGGGGCGAGCGUUGUCCGGAGUACUGGGCGUAAAGCGCACGCAGGCGGUCUGUUAAGUUUGGAGUGACAGUUGGUGGCUCAACCACCAAAGUGCUUUGAAAAACUGAUAGACUUUGAAGGGCUUCAGAGGGACACGGAAUUCCGGGUGGAGGUGGUGAAAUAGCGGUAGAGAUACCGGAGGGAACACCAAAGGACGAAGGCAGUGAUCCUGGGGAGUAACCUGACGCUGCAGGUCGCGAAAGCCAGGGGAGCGGAACGGGAUUAAGAUGACCCCAGUAG